rnacentral:sRNA from 2 species
UAUUCUGCCCCACGGGGAAGGAUGAGAAGCUUCGACUCAGGUUCGACUCGAGCGUAGCGAGAGAACGUUGCCGCAGGCAACGGCCCGAAGGGCGAGGCGCUUUAGCGCCGAGUCAUCCUUCCCCCACCACCA